AGAUCACGUAAGAAGACGAUUACACGAUGAUGCUCGCGAUUCUUCUCCAACACUUGAAGAAGGUGGGUCGUUUUUAAAGAAGAAGAUCGUGGGACUCCAACUCUCUAAGAACGAUUCAUCCUUUAAGCUAAUACAGGUGACCCAUUAGACCCACCACCUCUUAGAAGAUCUGCAAGUAGGCCAAGGAAAGUCAGGAAAAGAGCAGUUGAUGAACCUGCAGCUGGGACAAGUCAAUCAAAGAGGUCACAAACUGUUAAAUGCAUGCAGUGCAAAGAGUUUGGGCAUAACAAAAGGACUUGUCAAGGAGGACCAGUUAGGGGCAGAGGUGGACCAAGCAAAAGAGGUAGGGGAAACAAUGGGAGAGGUUCUGCGAGUGGCAAUAAAGUGGGGGAAACACAUACUAUCAACAUUGGUAAUGGCAGUGGUACAGCUAGAGGCAUAAACAGAGGCAGAGGAUCAAGAGGAAGGGGCAGAAACACAACUACCACACCUCAAGGAAAUCAAGCGGGUACAUCACAGACACAACCUUCACAGUGUGUCACUCAAAGCCACCCAUCAGAGUGGUCUCUUUUCUAAAUGACAUGAAGUUUGAGACUUUUUUGUGAGCUAAUUGAACAUAUUGAAGACUAACUUUUUGUAUAUGGUACUAUAGGGCUAAUGUGGUAGUAUAUUUAGAUACCACUUUUUUGUAUAGGGCAAAAUAGAUUCAGUACUUCUGUGAUCUUUUGUUGGAUACAAAUUUAUGUAUAGCCCUGAUUAUGCUGUGAUUUAGCCCUCUUUUGUAAUAUGGAUGACUGUAAACUUCAAACUUAUGUCUUUUGAUUGCCACUUGGAUGUACGGAAUUUGCAUAUGAUGGUAAAGAAGUUAGUUUGCCUU